UAAUAUUCUUCCUCCGAGUUACUAUCGAACUAGUACAAGUGAUAUAUUCGAACGGAGUCGUUCCACUCCUCUCGCGAUUACUAUAAUCAUUUUAAUUUAAUUACCCUACUAUUCUACACCACCCCUUCCCAACCCCACGUUUGUUUAUUUACCGAAUUUUUGAUUAAACUUCUUAACGUAAAUUUUUGUUUGUCGAAUAUAUUUCGAAUCUAUUGAUGAAAAUAUAAAAUCCGUAGCAUAGUUUUAUGGUUGUUCAUAUUGUUGUUGUUGUACUUUUGUAAUUGUUGAACAAUUCGUUUUCGUGUUAAGAAGAGUGAAGGAAAAAAUUAGAAGUCAGAGGUGGGGAGAAAGAAAAAUAGAAGAAGAAGAAGAAGAUGGUAUAGUUUGAGAAAAUAAAUAAAACAGGAGUAUCAUCGACGGAUUUAAGCUUAUCAUUGGCAGCACCGUUAUUUUGGCCUUGAAGAGAUAUCAAACUGUUCGUAAGAAAUAUUCAGAGAGAGACACACCGGCAGUCUGUUCGUGGCUUUCGUGUUACUUUAAGCCCGUCGGCAGCUCGAGAAAGUCUACGAUUUGUAAGAAAAAUCUUUGAUAGGAACGUUGGAUCUAAUUUCGAAAUUGUCUGGAUAAGAUUUGUCGGAUAAUCAAUACACCGAAUUUGAUUGAAGAAGAGGAAAGCUUUCCGUUAUCCUUAAAGGAACUAUCAACAAAACUAUCCUGAAUUCUUCUAUCAAGGUUUAAUCGUAAUACAAGUGAUCAUGACGUCGGCUAACGGUGCACCAUUGAAAUCAAGACGACAGGAUUCCCCACCUAUGUGGGUGAAUCCUUGCGGACUUGCGGCAGAAGAUUUCAACAGUGAUCCGGAAAUCGAACAAUUGAAGGAUUUCGAUCUCGUAUCGCAGAUUAUUGUACAAUUGCAAACAGCAUUGUCGCACACCUCGCUGUUUCGUGAAGA